rnacentral:rRNA from 1 species
CUACAUGAAGCUGGAAUCGCUAGUAAUCGCGGAUCAGAAUGCCGCGGUGAAUACGUUCCCGGGUCUUGUACACACCGCCCGUCACACCAUGGGAGUCGGAAAUGCCCGAAGUCUGUGACCUAACCGUAAGGAAGGAGCAGCCGAAGGCAGGUCGGAUGACUGGGGUGAAGUCGUAACAAGGUACC